AUUGAACGCUGGCGGCAGGCCUAACACAUGCAAGUCGAACGAGUGGCGGACGGGUGAGUAAUGUAUGGGAAACUGCCCGAUGGAGGGGGAUAACUACUGGAAACGGUAGCUAAUACCGCAUACUAUCGGAUGUGCCCAUAUGGGAUUAGCUAGUAGGUGGGGUAAAGGCUCACCUAGGCGACGAUCCCUAGCUGGUCUGAGAGGAUGACCAGCCACACGUGGACUGAGACACGGCCCAGACUCCUACGGGAGGCAGCAGUGGGGAAUAUUGCACAAUGGGCGCAAGCCUGAUACAGCCAUGCCGCGUGUAUGAAGAAGGCCUUAGGGUUGUAAAGUACUUUCAGCGGGGAGGCGUUACCCGCAGAAGAAGCACCGGCUAACUCCGUGCCAGCAGCCACGGUAAUUC
rnacentral:rRNA from 1 species